UACGUAGGGGGCGAGCGUUACCCGGAUUUACUGGGCGUAAAGGGGGCGGGGGCGGCCGUGAAAGUCCGGUGUGAAAACUCACGGCUCAACCGUGGGACUGCGCUGGAAACUACACGGCUUGAGGACGGUAGAGGGAGACGGAACUGCUGGUGUAGGGGUGAAAUGCGUAGAUAUCAGCAGGAACGCCGGUGGAGAAGUCGGUCUCCUGGGCCGUUCCUGACGCUGAGGCCCGAAAGCUAGGGGAGCAAACCGG
rnacentral:rRNA from 1 species